rnacentral:rRNA from 1 species
GGCUCAGGACGAACGCUGCGGCGUGCCUAAUACAUGCAAGUCAACGGUCUUUCUAUGGAAGCUGCUUCCACUGAGAAGAUAGUGGCGAACGGGUGAGUAACACGUGGGGUAACCUGCCCAUAAGAGGGGGGAUAACAUCCGGAAACGGGUGCUAAUACCGCAUAGUUUUCUUGAUCGCAUGAUCGGGAAAGGAAAGACGGCCUUUGUGCUGUCGCUUAUGGAUGGACCCGCGGCGUAUUAGUUAGUUGGUGAGGUAACGGCUCACCAAGACGAUGAUACGUAGCCGACCUGAGAGGGUGAUCGGCCACAUUGGGACUGAGACACGGCCCAAACUCCUACGGGAGGCAGCAGUAGGGAAUCUUCCGCAAUGGACGAAAGUCUGACGGAGCAACCCCGCGUGAGUGAAAGAAGGUUUUCGGAUCGUAAAACUCUGUUGUCAGAGAAGAACAAGUUGGAGAGUAACUGCUCCAGCCUUGACGGUAUCUGACCAGAAAGCCACGGCUAACUACGUGCCAGCCGCCGC